rnacentral:rRNA from 1 species
CCAAUAGCGUAUAUUAAAGUUGUUGCAGUUAAAAAGCUCGUAGUUGAAUUUCGGGAUCAAUUUAUUGGUCGUGCCAACGGUACGCACUGGUACAAUUGGUUUCUCCCUUCUGACGAAGCGUGAUGUCAUUAACUUGAUGUCGUGGGGAAUCAGGACUAUUACUUUGAAAAAAUUAGAGUGUUUAAAGCAGGCUUUGGCUUGAAUACAUUAGCAUGGAAUA